GCCCCUGUGGCGCAAUCGGUUAGCGCGCGGUACUUAUAAUGCCGAGGUUGUGAGUUCGAGCCUCACCUGGAGCA
rnacentral:tRNA from 1 species